rnacentral:ncRNA from 2 species
UAGGCAGUGUCAUUAGCUGAUUG